rnacentral:rRNA from 1 species
AAUAGAUACCCAGGUAGUCCACGCCGUAAACGAUGAGUGCUAAGUGUUAGAGGGCUUCCACCCUUUAGUGCUGCAGCUAACGCAUUAAGCACUCCGCCUGGGGAGUACGGCCGCAAGGCUGAAACUCAAAGGAAUUGACGGGGGCCCGCACAAGCGGUGGAGCAUGUGGUUUAAUUCGAAGCAACGCGAAGAACCUUACCAGGUCUUGACAUCCUUCGCUACCUCUAGAGAUAGAGGGUUCCCCUUCGGGGGACGGAGUGACAGGUGGUGCAUGGUUGUCGUCAGCUCGUGUCGUGAGAUGUUGGGUUAAGUCCCGCAACGAGCGCAACCCUUGACCUUAGUUGCCAGCAUUCAGUUGGGCACUCUAAGGUGACUGCCGGUGACAAACCGGAGGAAGGUGGGGAUGACGUCAAAUCAUCAUGCCCCUUAUGACCUGGGCUACACACGUGCUACAAUGGAUGGUACAAAGGGUCGCGAAACCGCGAGGUGGAGCUAAUCCCAAAAAACCAUUCUCAGUUCGGAUUGCAGG